AACGAACGCUGGCGGCAGGCUUAACACAUGCAAGUCGAGCGCCCCGCAAGGGGAGCGGCAGACGGGUGAGUAACGCGUGGGAAUCUACCCAUCUCUACGGAAUAACGCAUGGAAACGUGUGCUAAUACCGUAUACGUCCUUCGGGAGAAAGAUUUAUCGGAGAUGGAUGAGCCCGCGUUGGAUUAGCUAGUUGGUGGGGUAAAGGCCUACCAAGGCGACGAUCCAUAGCUGGUCUGAGAGGAUGAUCAGCCACACUGGGACUGAGACACGGCCCAGACUCCUACGGGAGGCAGCAGUGGGGAAUAUUGGACAAUGGGCGCAAGCCUGAUCCAGCCAUGCCGCGUGUGUGAUGAAGGCCCUAGGGUUGUAAAGCUCUUUCACCGGUGAAGAUAAUGACGGUAACCGGAGAGGAAGCCCCGGCUAACUUCGUGCCAGCCGCCGCUGUAAUAC
rnacentral:rRNA from 1 species